ACCUUAGAGACCAACUAAGUUUGUUAUUGGUAUGAGUUUUCAUGUGCAUGCACACUUCUUCAGAUGCAUGCACACAAAAGCUCAUGCCAAUAACAAACUUAGUUGGUCUCUAAGGU